GAUGAACGCUAGCGGCAGGCCUAAUACAUGCAAGUCGAACGGGAUCCAGAUCAAAGCUUGCUUUGGUCUGGUGAGAGUGGCGCACGGGUGCGUAACGCGUGAGCAACCUACCCUUGUCAGGGGGAUAGCCCGGCGAAAGUCGGACUAAUACCGCAUGACAGCAUUGAGAGGCAUCUUUCGAUGCUCACAGAUUUAUCGGACAAGGAUGGGCUCGCGUGACAUUAGCUAGUUGGUAAGGUAACGGCUUACCAAGGCUGCGAUGUCUAGGGGCUCUGAGAGGAGAAUCCCCCACACUGGUACUGAGACACGGACCAGACUCCUACGGGAGGCAGCAGUAAGGAAUAUUGGUCAAUGGACGGAAGUCUGAACCAGCCCGGCCGUGUGCAGGAAGACGGCCCUACGGGUUGUAAACUGCUUUUAUACGGGAACAAACGUCGGUACGUGUACCGGUCUGAGUGUACCGUACGAAUAAGGAUCGGCUAACUCCGUG
rnacentral:rRNA from 1 species